CGUCACCAUCCAUGGCCGCCUCGGCCUCAGCUUGUGUCCGGCCACCACAUGCCUCCCCACACCUCUCCUCCACGUCCACCGCACUCCCCUCGUCCCACUCAGCCGUCCCACCCCCUGGCCCGCUCACCGGAGUGCCCGCAUCAUCGAGAACCGCCGCCGCCCGAAGCUCCUGGUGCCUCCCGUCGCCGCGACCUCCCCUCCUCUCCGCUCCUCCCCGCUCCUUCCUUCGCCCCUGAAUGGAGUAGGCGCAUCCCUGCGGUCCCGCGGGUGCCCUUGGCUCGGCCGGGGAGCGCCUGAGCCGGCCGGCCCCUUGGCCGUUUCCCUCCCCUGCCUCUGCUCUGUCUCAUGGGAGAACAGACGAGCGGGAGGAAGGAGACGACCGAGACUGGCUCCUUCCCCUGCGCGUGGGACCCACCUGUAAAUCUCUCAGCGUUGACCAGCCCGGGCCCCGCCACUGCCACGUCAUGGACCCGUUGGUGAUAAAUUUUGCACAGAUUAGUCCCUGCUCUUCCACCCUUCACAACUUUUCAACCAUAACUCCGUUUGAGCCCCCUCUAGAGAGUACGUUUUCCGGUGAUUCGUUCCGCGAGUUUCUGACACUUCUCCCCAGUGCC